rnacentral:rRNA from 1 species
UACGUAGGGUGCAAGCGUUGUCCGGAAUUAUUGGGCGUAAAGAGCUCGUAGGCGGUCUGUCGCGUCUGCUGUGAAAACUCAGGGCUUAACCCUGAGCUUGCAGUGGGUACGGGCAGACUAGAGUGCGGUAGGGGAGACUGGAAUUCCUGGUGUAGCGGUGAAAUGCGCAGAUAUCAGGAGGAACACCUGCGGCGAAGGCGGGUUGCUGGGCUGAUACUGACGCUGAGGCGCGAAAGCCAGGGGAGCGAACGGG